GACACAGAUCACUUCAAAGGUGGCAAAACUCCAAGGACGAUUCAUCAGCUUUUAGCCAUCCACUAACAUCUUCAACAAUUUGUACAACAAACAGAGCAAAAUUCCAUGUCAUAACCGCACAAUAGCCAGAAAAUUCCUGGUACAGCACUAACUCGGGAGAAUGCAGCCAGAAUGACAAAAAUGUUUCAGAGAUCAUCUCAUAACAAAGCCAUCCCUACCAAAAGGCCACAAGGAAGGCUCGAUCCAAGAAACUGCCAGUUUUCCCUUGCUCUUCCUACUGUUACCUACAAGGAGGGCAACCCUAUUGCUCCAUUACAACAGGUGAAUGCACUGUGAACCUCAGAAGCAACAAGCAGAAAACGCUGGCGAGCAGCAGCUGGUGGCUCUGUGGCUGCAAAGCAUUUCAAAUCAGAGCUGAGGGGGGCAGCAGGUCUGGAGCUCCUGCAACUAAAAUUAGUGUUUUACAAGCCUGUUUACAACUGUUCUUUCCUCUUUUCAAGAGGACAGUAUCUAUUAAACUGCACAGCAGUUCUUACCAUCUACAUUCCUGGCUACAGGCUCUUUCUGGUCCACUUAAAAUGGGAACCCUGAGACAGCCCUGCCAUGGUGUGACUUGCAAGGACACACACACUGUCAGCUCUUUACAUACUACUGGGAGGAAGACAAUCUACAGACAAGAAACUGAACGUAUUACAAGAAAUUAUAUGUAACAAUACAUAAAUAAAGUCAUCAAAAUAC